rnacentral:lncRNA from 1 species
UCAUCACGUUCAGAUCGCGUCCUCGCUUUAGUCGAUGUAUGCUCAAAGACGUACCCAUCAGCGUAGAGACGUCUAGGAUCAAAUUUGACCUUAUCUACAUUUGUUUUGACUGCUUGAGAUAAUAGGCCUUUAUCUCCUCUGCAAAUGCUAAAGAACUAACACCAUGAAAAUCAUAAUACUCAAUUUUUCCAUUAUUUUUCUUUUACUGCAGAUUUACAUAUUUGGUAUCUGAUAAUAAGGAAUCUUUGCUUAUUAACAACAUGCUAACAUCUUCAAUUUGGAACAUUAUGUCACUAAUAUAACAAUGAAGUACGUGAUAUAAACCAAGAACACCUCAAGAAAAAAUAAAGAUGAGAGGAUCAAACCUGAAAUUGUAAGAUCUUUGAAGAGAGCUGAAAGUUCUUUGAAUGUCCGAAGAAAUCUAAAGAGCAAUUUUUGGCUUUGAAUGUCCGAAGAAAUCUAAAGAGCAAUUUUUGGAAGUAUGAAGAAAGAAGA